UACGUAGGGGGCGAGCGUUGUCCGGAUUUACUGGGCGUAAAAGAGCGUGUAGGCGGCCACGCAGGUCCGGUUGUGAAAACUGGAGGCUCAACCUUCAGACGUCGACGGAAACCGUGUGGCUAGAGUCCGGAAGAGGAGAGUGGAAUUCCUGGUGUAAGCGGUGAAAUGCGCAGAUAUCAGGAAGAACACCAAUGGCGAAGGCAGCUCUCUGGGACGGUACUGACGCUGAGACGCGAAAGCGUGGGGAGCGAACAGG
rnacentral:rRNA from 1 species